GUCCCACCCACAGCCCACAGCCUACAGCCCUCUGCCUCUGAGACAGACGCGCAUGCACCGGGGACGUGAGUCACGGCAUUCACCCAUCCUCUCCAUCUGAAGCUAUAAUUGGAAUGGCUGUGCACGCAGUGCACGCCUGCUUCCUGUAUUUCACAGGCCAGGGCUCCAGGAGCUGCUAACCACACACUGCUCAGCCCGAGAUGCCACUUGGAUGAUCACGAGGUGGUUGCUCGGAAGGGUGACUGCUUCCAAGAAAGCAGAAUGGAACCUUAAGUGAUGCUGCCUCACUAGUUUCCAGAGUCAUGUUCCAGUCAGUUCAGGCUUCUUGGUGCCUCUCUGGUUCACAUGCAACAUGAAGCACUCCAAUUAAUCAACAGCAAGAGCUUUAACGUGCCAGAAUCUUCUGAAGAAGAAGGCAGUGGCCAGCCAGAUGUUCAAGAGGGUACCACCCUGCAGACUGACCACAGAUGCUGUGGCUCUAUAGCUGAUCAUGGGCAGCUGACCUGGAGAUGGAUAGCCACUUCUGUUUACACACUGCCGAAUGGUUAGACAUGAUCAAAGGGGUGCUAGGUUCACACUUGUAGGCUUCUGAGUAAACCCUGAAAUUGGAUUUUUGAUUUUUUGAUCAUAGCAAAGCAUGAGUCAAAUUGCUUUGAAAGGUAUUUAAAUUCUGAGGUUACUCCCUCUCUGUAUCCACACCUCUGCUCCCUCUCAAUCCUGGAAUGAGUGGGGGAAACAGGUACAGUCAAUUCCUCCAAAUUUUUAUUAUUUCUGGGAGCAGGACACUAGUUAACAGAAGACGUGGUUUCUAGAGCCUAUUAUGCCUCUAAGUAGCCUGGAGAGUUUGGGGGCACCUAGACAAUAGUGUUUAGCUUUGUUGCACUAAGUAGAUUCUGUAGUGAUAUUUCAUUUGUAUUUUAAUAAAUAAAGCUUGCCUGAAGUUCAUAGAGUAAAAAAGCCCCCACUGGUCAGCCUUACAGACCAGGCAGUGGUGACACAUACCUUUAAUCCCAGAAGCCAUACUAGUUUGCCAUAGAAAGAAGGCAGUAGUGGUGCACACCUUUAAUCCCAGGACUAGAGAGGAAUAUAAGAUGGGAGGAGACAAUUCUCAGACACAGUCUCAUUCUAAGAUUCCUGGAGGCAGGAUCGCCAUUUUGGACUGAGGUAGAGAUAAGAGCCAGUAGCUGGCUGUUUGCUUUUCUGACCUUCAGGUUGAACCCCAAUUUCUGUCUCUGGGUUUUUAUUAAUUGUGCUACAAGAUGUGGCAAAAAGAAUGAUGGCAUGGUGUCCUUUUACACACUUCCUUGGUUCCUGUACUGCCUGGUAAAUGCUCCCCGUUUUCAUUCUUGACCUUUCCAGCUUUCCAGCGAAUCUGUGGAGCUUUACCACACAAAGAUCUUCCAGCCUCACUUCCCCAGCUGGCCAAAAUACAAGCUAGUAGCUGUAAAGGAGAAAGUCCAAUGGUAAGGGAGUGGGAGUGGGGGUAGGUGGGAGCAGUGGUGGAGUAUAGGAUAGUAGGAAGCAUGUUAGCCAGCAAGUUAUGACGUGUGGUGUAGCUUUAGAGCGAUGGUGGUGCACGCCUUUAAACCCAGCACUAGGGAGGCAGAGGCAGGCGGAUCUCUCUGCGAGUUUGAGACCAACCUGGUCUACAGAGCUAGUUCCAGGACAGGCUCCAAAGCCACAGAGAAACCCUGUCUCGAAAAACCAAAAAAAAAAAAAAAAAAAAAAAAAAAAAAAAAAAAAAAAAAAAAAAAAAAAAAAAAAAAAAAAAAAAAAAAAAAAAAAAAAAAAAGAAUGGCCAACAGAGCUAAUUUCUGCUAAUUUCUGGAUGGUAAGAGGCAGGAGAGACGUGUGGAUCCCAUUGGGUGAGUUCUAGUUCAGCACACGAGGAUUCCAGCUCUGGAAAAGGUCUUCCAAGGUAGGAAAAAAAAAAAAUCUGGGACUUUCCUCUUACGCUGGUUUCCCCAGCCUCUGGCCAUUAGGAGACCACGUGAUCACAGAAGACUGGACCAAGCAUAAAAGACUCUGUAGCAUGGCCUUUGCGCUUACAGAGGAGGGAUAGAGGCUCCAUUCUGAAGACGGCCAUGGCUUAGUGAAUCUCAUAAAACCUUCCGAAUGGUUGUCUCUGUGAAGAACUGAUAGAUGGGUUUGACUGUGCUUAAUGGGGGUCCAAAUUUCCCCUUCCGAGCCCCAGCACGGGUCCCUCUCCAGCCCCUGUGGUAGAGCCUUUAAGCUGCAGCCCUGGAAUAUGCACUGCACCUUGCCUUCUGCGGUUGUUUCCUAGGUGAGCGUCCCACCAGUGGGCAGCUCAGGGUGUGUGAGUGACUUUUCAGUCCUAACUUCUACUUUUUGAGGGAGAAAGUGUCUUGGUCAAAACAACAUGAACAGCAAUCCUCCUGAAAUGAAAAUGAACAAAUGGCAUCCAGUUGGAGCCCAGGCUUCUUCCAGGUCUCCACCCACACAGGAAGAGUCUGUGCUUCCCGGUAUGUGCCUGCGUACUGUGUCUGGUGCUUAUUUCAAAACCCUGCCUGAGAAAGUUCCGCAGGACUCUUGACAUGUCGACAAACAGCUUAGUCUCCCCUUUGAACCUGAGGGAAGCCAGACAGAAAUGGAGUCAAAUUUGACAAGCUGGAGAAAGAGGCUGUCCUUGGCUGUUGCUUAGGCCCCUGAGGGAUGUCUUCACCUCUGAUGCAAGACCUGCCCAGAAGGGAGGCCCUGGGCAAUCCCUAGGCUUCCUGGGGCCACUUCUUUAUUAUCAGUUUCUCCCUUGCUUCUGCCUAAGCUAUCAGAGUCCACAGGCAGGCCCGGCAGCAGGGCUGUACUCCCAGCAGCUCCGCUGUGAUUAAAAGGGCAACUGGGCCCCUCCACCUCUUCUUCCGGUGCCUGUGUGGGCAUCAUCAUGAGCAAGAGCUGCCUGGCAGGUGACCGCAGAUCCUGUAUAAUCCUUCUGCCUUGGCCCCCUUUCCCUAGAUCCCCUUCUGCUGCUCUCACUCACACUUGUUUGCGAACAGCUAGAAGGAAUUAAAGCGUGCUAAAGGAUCAGGCUAGAAGACUUAUACGUCCAAUGGCAAAUCCUUUUUCUUUUUGCUUUAUGUCCUACUGUUAUCUGUGGCAGUUGGGGUUUGACUUUUGUGUCACUAGAAAGUAACAAUGGUGUGCCCCAGAAUUUCUUAAGCAGUACUUGCAAAGCAAGUGUGGAUUUCGGCUUCAGAACUCAAGUGGACAAUGUAUAUUCUUGGGCAGUUAAGUGUGAAGAAACGGCCUUUGGAGCAGCAAACGCUGAUGAAACGGCCUACUGUUCUCCAACCCCUGUGGUAGAAUCCGGGAGAUACAAAGAUGAUAAGGCACACCCCGCCACCUCUAAGUCUGAAUUUCUCUCAAACUUUCACUUCAUGGUAAAACAUGAGACUGAUUAGCAUUUUGUUCCCUAACAAUGAUUUUAGGAGAGUGGGAUUGUGGGAUUGUCCAAGUAGCUAUUUGUAUCUAUACACGGUGGGAGUGUGCACCUGUGGCUACCAGCAUAUACAGAAGAGGAAACCCGCUUUAUUUACUUAGUGAUGCGUCCUGGGGUCUUACAAUCCACAGCUUUUAGUGUGUUUAAAAGAAAUCUCACCCAGAGCCCCACUGUGAUGUGUGAAGCAAGACCAAGCAUGUGGAGUGUUGGACAUAUGUCGUCGAUGGGAAGCGGACUCAAAGGAGAAUCAGGUCUCGGCAUCGGUGGCACAGAAAGUUGGAAGGGACUUGGCUGUGGAGCUAAUGGGAGAUCUCAGUACGCAAAGAUAAAACAGAUAUGAGAAGUGACAUAUGAACAUGAGUAGGCAUGGAUCUGAAACCAUAGACCCUUUCCCUGAGGUUGAAAUUGUGGGAGAUUCAUUUGACUGUGCUGAUGGAGAGAAGCCAUGCGGUACGGCAUCAGGGGCAGACACAUUUGGAUCUUCGUCUUCAGCCAUGGACUGCCACAACUGAAUGAGAGGCCGGGGUAACACCAUGAGAUGAGAAGACCUAGGCUGUUUUCUGCCUGGAUGCAUAAGUCAAAAUUUAUGACAUCUCUCUGUGAAUCAUCCACACCAGUUCAAGAAGCAGAUGUGAGGAGCAGCAGCAGCAGCAGCAGCAGCAGCAGCAGCAGCAGCAGCAGCAGCAGCAGCCUCCUGAAGUCUCUACAUCUUUGUGAAUCGGAGAGCAAAGAGUAGAUGUGAAAGCUCAUGGCUUCCCCUCACCUUCCUUCCCUGCAUUCUCCUGGAUCUUCUAUAAGUUUUGCAUGCAUCCCAGU